rnacentral:rRNA from 1 species
GAUCAUGGCUCAGAGUGAACGCUGGCGGCAGGCCUAAUACAUGCAAGUCGAACGGCAGCACAGCAGAGCUUGCUCUGUGGGUGGCGAGUGGCGGACGGGUGAGGAAUACAUGGGAAUCUGCCCAGUCGUGGGGAUAACGUAGGGAAACUUACGCUAAUACCGCAUGCGCCCUUCGGGGGAAAGCCGGGGACCUUCGGGCCUGGCGCGAUUGGAUGAGCCCAUGUCGGAUUAGCUAGUUGGCGGGGUAAUGGCCCACCAAGGCGACGAUCCGUAGCUGGUCUGAGAGGAUGAUCAGCCACACUGGAACUGAGACACGGUCCAGACUCCUACGGGAGGCAGCAGUAGGGAAUAUUGGACAAUGGGCGCAAGCCUGAUCCAGCCAUGCCGCGUGAGUGAAGAAGGCCCUCGGGUUGUAAAGCUCUUUUGUCCGGAAAGAAAAGCGCCGGGUUAAUACCCUGGUGUCCUGACGGUACCGGAAGAAUAAGCACCGGCUAACUUCGUG